rnacentral:SRP_RNA from 1 species
GCUGGGCGUGGUGGCGCGUGCCUGUAGUCCCAGCUACUCGGGAGGCUGAGUGGGGAAGAUCCUUUGAGCCCAGGAGUUCUUGGCUGUAGUGCGCUAUGCCAAUCAGGUGUCCACACUAAGUUCGGCAUCAAUAUGGUGACCUCCCGGGAGCGGUAACCACCAGGUUGCCUAAGGAGGGUGAACUGGCCCAGGUCGGAAACAGAGCAGGUCAAAACUCCCAUGCUGAUCAGUAGUGGGAUUGCACCUGUGAAUAGCCACUGCACUCAGCCUGGGCAACAUAGCAAGACCCUGUCUCU